rnacentral:siRNA from 1 species
UCUACAGUUAAGCGUGCUUGGGC